rnacentral:rRNA from 1 species
UGGGGAAUAUUGCGCAAUGGGGGAAACCCUGACGCAGCGACGCCGCGUGAAGGAAGAAGGUCUUCGGAUUGUAAACUUCUUUAAUCGGGGACGAAGGAAGUGACGGUACCCGAGAAAAAAGCCACGGCUAACUACGUGCCAGCAGCCGCGGUAAUACGUAGGUGGCGAGCGUUGUCCGGAAUUACUGGGUGUAAAGGGCGCGUAGGCGGGUAUGCAAGUCAGAUGUGAAACCCCGAGGCUCAACCUUGGGCUUGCAUCUGAAACUGUAUAUCUUGAGUGUUGGAGAGGGAAGUGGAAUUCCUAGUGUAGCGGUGAAAUGCGUAGAGAUUAGGAGGAACACCAGUGGCGAAGGCGACUUCCUGGCCAAUAACUGACGCUGAGGCGCGAAAGCGUGGGGAGC